ACCAGACUCCUACGGGAGGCAGCAGUGGGGAAUAUUGCACAAUGGGGGGAACCCUGAUGCAGCGACGCCGCGUGAAGGAAGAAGUAUUUCGGUAUGUAAACUUCUCUCAGCAGGGAAGAAAAUGACGGUACCUGACUAAGAAGCCCCGGCUAACUACGUGCCGGCAGCCGCGGUAAUACGUAGGGGGCAAGCGUUAUCCGGAUUUACUGGGUGUAAAGGGAGCGUAGACGGCAGCACAAGUCUGGAGUGAAAUGCCGGGGCUUAACCCCGGAACUGCUUUGGAAACUGUGCAGCUAGAGUGCAGGAGAGGUAAGUGGAAUUCCUAGGGUAGCGGUGAAAUGCGUAGAUAUUAGGAGGAACACCAGUGGCGAAGGCGGCUUACUGGACUGUAACUGGCGUUGAGGCUCGAAAGCGUGGGGAGCAAACAGGAUUAGAUACCCCGGUAC
rnacentral:rRNA from 1 species